AGCGAACGCUGGCGGCGUGCCUAACACAUGCAAGUCGAACGUGAAAGGGAGCAAUCCCAAGUAAAGUGGCGUACGGGUGAGUAACACGUAGGUAAUCUACCCCAGAAUCUGGACUAACCGGCCGAAAGGCUGGCUAAUACUGGAUAGAGCGACGGAAUCCGUAAUUGGGUUUUUCGGGAAAGGGAGCCUGUAAAAAGGCCUUCGUUCUGGGAUGAGCCUGCGUCCCAUCAGCUAGUUGGUGAGGUAAAAGCUUACCAAGGCAAUGACGGGUAGCUGGUCUGAGAGGACGAUCAGCCACACUGGAACUGAAACACGGUCCAGACUCCUACGGGAGGCAGCAGUGGGGAAUCUUGCGCAAUGGACGAAAGUCUGACGCAGCAACGCCGCGGGAGUGAAGAAGGCCUUCGGGUUGUAAAGCUCUGUCGAGUGGGACGAAAAUGCUUGGAGUUCACAGCUCCAGGAACUGACGGUACCACUAAAGGAAGCACCGGCUAACUCCGUG
rnacentral:rRNA from 1 species